rnacentral:rRNA from 2 species
UCUGCUCAGGACGAACGCUGGCGGCGUGCUAAUACAUGCAAGUCGAGCGAACAGAAGGGAGCUUGCUCCCGGAUGUUAGCGGCGGACGGGUGAGUAACACGUGGGUAACCUGCCUGUAAGACUGGGAUAACUCCGGGAAACCGGAGCUAAUACCGGAUAGUUCCUUGAACCGCAUGGUUCAAGGAUGAAAGACGGUUUCGGCUGUCACUUACAGAUGGACCCGCGGCGCAUUAGCUAGUUGGUGGGGUAAUGGCUCACCAAGGCGACGAUGCGUAGCCGACCUGAGAGGGUGAUCGGCCACACUGGGACUGAGACACGGCCCAGACUCCUACGGGAGGCAGCAGUAGGGAAUCUUCCGCAAUGGACGAAAGUCUGACGGAGCAACGCCGCGUGAGUGAUGAAGGUUUUCGGAUCGUAAAGCUCUGUUGUUAGGGAAGAACAAGUGCGAGAGUAACUGCUCGCACCUUGACGGUACCUAACCAGAAAGCCACGGCUAACUACGUGCCAGCAGCCGCGGUAAUACGUAGGUGGCAAGCGUUGUCCGGAAUUAUUGGGCGUAAAGGGCUCGCAGGCGGUUUCUUAAGUCUGAUGUGAAAGCCCCCGGCUCAACCGGGGAGGGUCAUUGGAAACUGGGAAACUUGAGUGCAGAAGAGGAGAGUGGAAUUCCACGUGUAGCGGUGAAAUGCGUAGAGAUGUGGAGGAACACCAGUGGCGAAGGCGACUCUCUGGUCUGUAACUGACGCUGAGGAGCGAAAGCGUGGGGAGCGAACAGGAUUAGAUACCCUGGUAGUCCACGCCGUAAACGAUGAGUGCGUAAGUGUUAGGGGGUUUCCGCCCCUUAGUGCUGCAGCUAACGCAUUAAGCACUCCGCCUGGGGAGUACGGUCGCAAGACUGAAACUCAAAGGAAUUGACGGGGGCCCGCACAAGCGGUGGAGCAUGUGGUUUAAUUCGAAGCAACGCGAAGAACCUUACCAGGUCUUGACAUCCUCUGACAACCCUAGAGAUAGGGCUUUCCCUUCGGGGACAGAGUGACAGGUGGUGCAUGGUUGUCGUCAGCUCGUGUCGUGAGAUGUUGGGUUAAGUCCCGCAACGAGCGCAACCCUUGAUCUUAGUUGCCAGCAUUCAGUUGGGCACUCUAAGGUGACUGCCGGUGACAAACCGGAGGAAGGUGGGGAUGACGUCAAAUCAUCAUGCCCCUUAUGACCUGGGCUACACACGUGCUACAAUGGACAGAACAAAGGGCUGCAAGACCGCAAGGUUUAGCCAAUCCCAUAAAUCUGUUCUCAGUUCGGAUCGCAGUCUGCAACUCGACUGCGUGAAGCUGGAAUCGCUAGUAAUCGCGGAUCAGCAUGCCGCGGUGAAUACGUUCCCGGGCCUUGUACACACCGCCCGUCACACCACGAGAGUUUGCAACACCCGAAGUCGGUGAGGUAACCUUUAUGGAGCCAGCCGCCGAAGGUGGGGCAGAUGAUUGGGGUGAAGUCG